GUUAGUUCAGAGGGUUAUGGGAGGGCUCUGGCGUCCUGCAUGGAGGGGCGUCGCUUUCUGUGGCUGGCGCUGGAUCCACCCUGGGUCUCCAACCAGGGCUGCAGAGAGGGUAGAGCCGUUUCUUAGGCCAGAGUGGAGUGGGACAGGAGGUGCCGAGAGAGGACUGAGGUGGCUUGGGACAUGGAAGCGCUGCAGCCUUCCCUUCCGGCAUCCAGCAUUGCAGCCGCCGCGGCGGCCUAAGAGCUCGAACCCUUUCACGCGCGCGCAGGAGGAGAAGCGGCGGCGGCAGAACAAGACGACCCUCACUUACGUGGCCGCUGUCGCCGUGGGCAUGCUGGGGGCGUCCUACGCUGCCGUACCCCUUUAUCGCCUCUAUUGCCAGACUACUGGACUUGGAGGAUCAGCAGUUGCAGGUCAUGCCUCAGACAAGAUUGAAAACAUGGUGCCUGUUAAAGAUCGAAUCAUUAAAAUUAGCUUUAAUGCAGAUGUGCAUGCAAGUCUCCAGUGGAACUUUAGACCUCAGCAAACAGAAAUAUAUGUAAGUGACUAACCAGUCAUUAAAAGAUUACUUUAUUAAUGUAAAUUCCUUUCUUUCAUCACUUAAACUGUCAGAGGACUAAUUUUAACACUAUGAUUCUAAUAAAACAUGGCAUUUUCC
rnacentral:lncRNA from 1 species